UACGAAGGGGGCUAGCGUUGCUCGGAAUCACUGGGCGUAAAGCGCACGUAGGCGGACUCUUAAGUCGGUGGUGAAAUCCUGGAGCUCAACUCCAGAACUGCCUUUGAUACUGGGAAGCUUCGAGUCCGGAAGAGGUGAGUGGAACUGCGAGUGUAGAGGUGAAAUUCGUAGAUAUUCGCAAGAACACCAGUGGCGAAGGCGGCUCACUGGUCCGGUACUGACGCUGAGGUGCGAAAGCGUGGGGAGCAAACAGG
rnacentral:rRNA from 1 species